rnacentral:rRNA from 1 species
UACGGAGGGGGCUAGCGUUGUUCGGAAUUACUGGGCGUAAAGCGCACGUAGGCGGCUUUGUAAGUUAGAGGUGAAAUCCCGGGGCUCAACUCUGGAAUUGCCUUUAAGACUGCAUCGCUAGAAUUGUGGAGAGGUAAGUGGAAUUCCGAGUGUAGAGGUGAAAUUCGUAGAUAUUCGGAAGAACACCAGUGGCGAAGGCGACUUACUGGACACAUAUUGACGCUGAGGUGCGAAAGCGUGGGGAGCAAACAGG